UUUAGAAGCCAUACCACCCUGAACACACCCAAUCUCAUCAGAAGAUGAGAAGCUUCUCUCAGAAGCUAAGCAGGGUCAGGCCUAGUGAGUACUUUAAAGGAAGAAGUAUCAUUACGCUUGAUUCUGACU
rnacentral:rRNA from 1 species